rnacentral:rRNA from 1 species
AUUGAACGCUGGCGGCAGGCCUAACACUUGCAAGUCGGGCGGUAACAGGAAUCAGCUUGCUGAUUCGCUGACGAGUGGCGGACGGGUGAGUAAUGUCUGGGAAACUGCCUGAUGGAGGGGGAUAACUACUGGAAACGGUAGCUAAUACCGCAUAACGUCUACGGACCAAAGUGGGGGACCUUCGGGCCUCAUGCCAUCAGAUGUGCCCAGAUGGGAUUAGCUAGUAGGUGGGGUAACGGCUCACCUGGGCGACGAUCCCUAGCUGGUCUGAGAGGAUGACCAGCCACACUGGAACUGAGACACGGUCCAGACUCCUACGGGAGGCAGCAGUGGGGAAUAUUGCACAAUGGGCGCAAGCCUGAUGCAGCCAUGCCGCGUGUAUGAAGAAGGCCUUCGGGUUGUAAAGUACUUUCAGCGGGGAGGAAGGUGUUGUGGUUAAUAACCGCAGCAAUUGACGUUACCCGCAGAAGAAGCACCGGCUAACUCCGUGCCAGCAGCCGCCGUAA